GGCUUGACUGAUCUUCCCAUAGUAGGCUGUAUCCAUCUCAAAGCGUUUGGCUUCCAAGGCAUGUCGCUUGUCUUGAUCUUCCAUCUUCAUUUUGAUCUCCUGAUUAGCUGCCUGAAAAUGAGCAACACUUCUCUCCAACUCAGCUUUCUCUGUAAGUAACUAAUCUCUGGCCCUCUUCAUCUCGAGGAAUUCCUCCAUGCCGACGGAAGAACUUGGACCCUCAAUCAUAGGACACCCCAAAUCACCUCCAGGAAAUGGUAGAAAUGUAACCUCAAUCCUCUUCCGCAACCAAUCUUCGAACAAAGGAAAAUGC
rnacentral:lncRNA from 1 species